AGUAUACCAAGGGGCGCGAGACAACUCUCUCUAAGGAACCGCAAAAUUACCUCGUAACUUCGAAGAAGAGGUACCCCUUCACGGGGGUUGCAAUAGAUUGACCCUGGCGACUGUUUACCAAAAACACAGGUCUCCGCUAAUUCGUAAGAAAAAGUAUGGGGGCUGACGCCUGCCCAGUGCCGGAAGGUUAAAGAAGUUGGUUAGUCCUUUGACAAAGCUAGCGACUGAAGCCCCGGUGAACGGCGGCCGUAACAAUAACAGUCCUAAGUUAGCGAAAUUCCUCUCGGGUAAGUUCCGACCCGCACGAAAGGCGUAACGAUCAGGGUACUGUCUCGGAGAGAGGCUCGGCGAAAUAGACAUGUCUGUGAAGAUGCGGACUACCUGCACCUGGACAGAAAGACCCUAUGAAGCUUUACUGUAUCUUGGAAUUGGGUUUGGUCCUUGCAUGCGCAGGAUAGGUGGGAGGCUUUGAAGAUGAUCUUGCGGGGUCGUUGGAGCCACUGGUGAGAUACCACCCUUGCAAUGAUAAAAUCCUGACUUUGAACCGUUAUCCGGUCAAAGAACAGUUUCAGGUGGGCAGUUUGACUGGGGCGGUCGCCUCCUAAAAGGUAACGGAGGCGUGCAAAGGUUCCCUCAGGCUGGUUGGACAUCAGUCGUAGAGUGUAAAGGCAUAAGGGAGCUUGACUGCGAGACCAACAAGUCGAGCAGAGACGAAAGUCGGCCUUAGUGAUCCGGCGCUUCCGAGUGGAAGGGGCGUCGCUCAACGGAUAAAAGUUACUCUAAGGAUAACAGGCUGAUCUCCCCCAAGAGUUCACAUCGACGGGGAGGUUUGGCAUCUCGAUGUCGGCUCAUCGCAUCCUGGGGCGGUAGUACGUCCCAAGGGUUGGGCUGUUCGCCCAUGAAAGCGGUACGCGAGCUGGGUUCAGAACGUCGUGAGACAGUUCGGUCCAUAUCCGGUGCAGGCGUUAGAGUAUUGCGAAGACUCCUCCUUAGUACGAGAGGACCGGGGGGAAUGCACCGCUGGUGUACCAGUUAUCGUGCCAACGGUAAACGCUGGGUAGCCAAGUGCAGUUUGGAUAACUGCUGAAAGCAUCUAAGUAGGAAGCCAGCUUCUAGAUGAGUACUCUCACCGCUUCAAGCGGGUAAGAUCACGGCAAGAACAGCCGUUUGAUAGGCAUCAAGUGUAAGUGCAGUAAUGUAUUCAGCUGAGAUGUACUAAUAGAUCGAGGGCUUAUCACC
rnacentral:rRNA from 1 species